UACGUAGGGUGCGAGCGUUAAUCGGAAUAACUGGGCGUAAAGAGUGCGCAGGCGGCGCCGCAAGUCGAGUGUGAAAGCCCCGGGCUUAACUUGGGAAUUGCGCUCGAAACUAUGGUGCUGGAGUGUGGCAGAGGAAGGUGGAAUUCCACGUGUAGCGGUGAAAUGCGUAGAGAUGUGGAGGAACACCGAUGGCGAAGGCAGCCUUCUGGGCCAACACUGACGCUCAUGCACGAAAGCGUGGGGAGCAAACAGG
rnacentral:rRNA from 1 species